rnacentral:rRNA from 1 species
AGUGAACGCUGGCGGUAUGCCUAACACAUGCAAGUCGAACGGCAACACAGUAAGGUCUUGCUCUUACGGGUGGCGAGUGGCGGACGGGUGAGGAGUACAUCGGAAUCUACUUUUUCUUGGAUGAUAACGUAGGGACACUUACGCUAAUACCUCAUACGACCUACGGGUUAAAGCAGUAGAUCUUCGCACCUUUCGCGAUUGAAUUAGCCGUUGUCGGAUUAGCUAGUGGGCGGGGUAAAGUCCCACCAAGGCAACGAUCCGUAGCUGACCUGAGAGGAUGAUCGGCCACACUGGAACGGAGACACGGUCAAGACUCCUACGGGAGGCAGCAGUGGGGAAUCUGGCGAAAGGGGCGAAAGCCUGACCGAGCAACGCGGCGUGGGUGAUGAAGGCCUUCGGUUCGUAAAACUCUUUUAUUGGGAAAGAAAAAAUGAGGAUAAAACCACGCUGGUCUGGACGGUACCAAAGGAAAAAGCCCCGGCUAACUCCGU